AAAGAAUGGUAGUUCCACUGUGGUAAGUGCUUUUGUUUAUUGUCAUUGUUACAAUUGGAUACUUGCGUCGUAGUGGUUCAGAAGUUAAAAGAAUGUACCGAUAUUCUUUUCCAUAGAGCUGGUACGCGCACACACACACAUACACUCAUAUAUGCACGUGCAUGAGAGAACUGAUAUAUACAACAAUCAACUGAAACCUAAUGUACACUUACUUUUUAUGUUCAACAAAUCCUUAUUAAUUUACACUUACUAUGUUCAAUAAAUUCUUCCUGUAUGACAAUAUUUCAUACCAUUUCUAGUUUUCUACUGUAUCAUAUAAUCUUAACAGUUAUACAUUGCAACUAACAUUCAUGUAGGAGGUGACUGGGAAU
rnacentral:misc_RNA from 1 species